rnacentral:lncRNA from 1 species
CAAGAUUGAUAAGUACCACACCAGGAACGUAAGUUUAUAAUAGAUAUAGAAGUGACAAUACACAACAGGUUUUUCAAAAUUUACAAUGAACAACAUGAUUUGGCUUCUUGCUCUAAAAUAGAAACAAUCUGCAACACUAACUUGGUGACAAUCCCACCAAUUCAACAACGAUGUGGACAUGAUGUGGACAUAUCGCCAAUUCAACAACUCUACCCUUCACUCCUUUGUGGCUUCUAGAAUCAAAGGAGAACUACCAUCAUUGGAGGAAAGGGAAAAAAAUUAACAACAGUUCUUGCGGUUAAAGCAUCUGUCGAGUGAAGGUAUGCCGCUAUGAAUCCUUCUUUUAGUAACCAUCUGUACACAACAGCAGUAAUGCCAAGGCAAAAAACUUGAUCUCUGUUCAUGGCCAUCUCAUUAUUGAAAAAGUAAAUGUAAAACUGGCCUGCAAGAUAAAUGUACAUUCAGUUACUGGGAAUACCACUGGAUGAAAUAUAGUGCACACUCCAGAUCUUAUAACUUUUAAUACAUUUUCAACUAAGAUUUUAAGCCAUGAGAUUAUAUGCCAAUAGUUACAUUUAAGCUUGUUAAAGCAUAAAGCAAUCAUAAAAAGGCAGUAAGAAUAAGCUUCAGGACACAGUGAGGGCUGAAAAUACUUAUUUGAAAACAAUGAAACAACUCAUUAAAUUUAACUAAGUUUGAGAGUUCCAGUUUUAAGAAUUAAUACUGUACAACUAAGAGCAGGCUACAAAAUAGUCAGUCAAGAAGAUUCAACUGUAUACACUUGAUAAUUAGAGACAAUGUUUUUAACCAAAAUUUUUUGACCAACACUUGAACCACCCCGUUGACGUGAAAUAUAUAAUAUGGUCAGUCAAGCAUAUUAAAAUUAAUAUAUUAGAACUAAUAAAAGUGCAUUGAAAAGGCAACCAUAAAGCAAGAACAACCGAUGUCAAGAGCACUGACGAUCACAGUAAUGAGAAAAGGUAACACAUGGCAAGAACAAUGGACUGACCAGACCUUCUGAAAUCCCUGGAACUACACGAUAUCAGAUCCCUGACAACACACAUAAUACCUAAAAAGUAGCUGAUGCGAGAAUAAGUCCAAAAAUAGUUAUUUGUUUUCUAAACCCAAAGACAGUUGGGGAGACCUAGAGACAGAUAGUUUACGGGUCGGUGAAAGAGGCUGGUGACAAAAUUGAGACACCAUAAUACCUACGGAUAUGACAGACAUGAGAACCUACAUUAGCUUGGAAAAGGGGACUACAUAUCAUUGGACCCACCUCUGAAUAGAGAACCUACAUUUCAUAUCCAAUAACUGAAAUUUGUGCGAUACAUCCAUAAAGGAAUAUUAGAAGGACGGGCAGAAAUUGGUGGCUCGACAUAUUGUUUAAGCAAAUAAAUAGUCACUACUUUCUUGUGCGCAAUGGAGCACGUACAGAUUCAACAACUAAGCUUUAGUAAUGACCGCAUGGUUGAUGUGGGAGAAACAACAUAACUAUUGUAACACUGAGCUGUGAGCCUUGCAUGAUGUGCAGGUAGGCUAGCUUGAUGGUGGAAAAUCAGUGGCGAUAUGUCCACAUUGGUAUUGAAGAGCAUGACAGAUAUAGUCACUUUCAAAAGGAGACCACACGUGUUUGGAUUCAGCUUUGAAUAGGAGAGUUUAUUUGACACACCUCUCCUCAAUCAAAUGGUUCAGGUCUAAAAAUAUAUAAUGGUGAGCACAAGAGCAGAGUAGUCAUGGUUGAGCCUGUUUUGACUUUCUUUUCUUAUUCCACUUUGGAAAGGACAAAAGUGAACAAAAGCAGGCCUAAAACAUAUACUCCCUCCGUCCCAAAAUAAGUGUCUCAACCUUAGUACAACUUUACACUAAAGUUAGUACAAAGUUGAGACACUUAUUUUGGGACGGAGGGAGUACCAUUUAAUGCCUUCACAACAGUUUUUGCAUGGCCAGUUAACUCUGAAAGAAGUCUGUGAUAUUACACUUAAUAUGUAAAAGAGGCUCAAACACUAAAUUAAAUUCAAAAUAAAAGUAAUGCUCAUGCAGCAUAUUUUGUAUUUACAACAUCAGACAGUACCAUCAAACGCUAUAUAUUAGCUAGCUAAGUAGGAAUCUCUCAUUGGAUUGUGCCUCUAAAUAAUACCAUGGAGGCAGGAAACUAAGUAUUUUCAGUCAGGAAAACAAAGAUGCCUGCUUCCGCAACAUGAAUCGCAGAAUUUUCAUAUAAUUGUACUCACAAAGCUAUUUAAACAUAAAAGGAAACAGUAAUACCUUGUAUAUUUGUACAACCUAUCAAGAACAGAGUUGUGAAUUAAUCUCUUUGUAUUGAUGCCCUCAUCACCAAGCCCACUAUCACUGAUGCCUUCUCUUCCGGCACCAUAAGUAGUGUGGUCAUUGUAGAAAUAUGACCAGUUAUAUUCUACUUGUGUCUAUCUCUAUCUUGCGAUUCCACUGCUCACUGCCGUGGUUGCACUGCUCAUGUCGGGUUAGAGUUAUGGUGCCCUGCGAAACACGAGCAAAGUUUGAAUAAUCCAGUGGUUAUAUUCUACUUAAACUGGGACCAUUAUGCGUGAUAUUUUGAAUGAAUUGCUAUGAGAGAGAGCUGAACAAUUAUAUAGCAAAUUGGGUGUCGUAUUCAAUUGUAUCCAUGGAAAAUAUAUUACAAUCUCUAAACUACAGCAGUGUACAAUGAAGCGACAACCAACGAAGGAAGCAGAAGCGGGCGCUGACAGAGAUGACAAACCCAAGUCUGGGAACGAUGACAGUCGGAUAGAUAUCUCAUCUCUACUUCUGCUCAUCUCCCUUUAUUAAGACGCGACAACAUAUGUAUAUAUAUGAUGUGCACCCAACUCUGUCUUUAGCAUUGCCCGCUGCUGAACCUGCACAUGAAAAAACUGACAAAUGUUCUUAUUCUUGUUCUGCCUUAUGCAACAGGUCCGACGAACCUACAGCUUAGUAUGUAAGUUAAGAAAAAAAUAUGGGGAAUGAUGGGGAAAAAGGUUGCUGCUAACCUAGAAGGGACGCCGUGGCACCACCAACAAGAGAGGCUAUUUGUACAGCAACACAACUCGGUGUAGGAAUCAACAGCAGUCACCCAAACACUAAUCAUAUGGAACCUUAGAAUGCCUUACCACGGCGCCAUUCUGGCCAAUAGCAGCACCUAUUAUGAUGCCUUACCACCAUGCCGUUCAGGUCAACGCAUCAC